rnacentral:misc_RNA from 1 species
UUUCCGUAGGUGAACCUGCGGAAGGAUCAUUAAAGAGUAAAGGUCUUCGGGCCCGAUCUCCAACACUUUGUUUAACUACCAUGUUGCUUUGGCGGGCCCGUCUCACGACAGCCGGAAGUUUGGCUUCGACCAAACUUCUGGCCCGUGCCCGUCAGUGGCCCCUUCAAAUUCUUGAUCAAGUAUGAUGUCUUAGUUAAAAACUUAAUAGUUAAAACUUUCAACAACGGAUCUCUUGGUUCUG